CAGCCGCCGCGGUAAUACGAGGGGUGCAAGCGUUAUUCGGAUUGAUUGGGUGUAAAGGGUGUGCAGACGGCUUAUUAAGUCACUUGUUAAAUUCUUCGGCCUAACUGAAGGUCUGCAAGUGAUACUGAUGAGCUAGAGGGUGGAAGAGAGAAGUGGAAUUCUCGGAGUAGCGGUAAAAUGCGUAGAUCUCGAGAGGAACACCAAUGGCGAAGGCAGCUUCUUGGUCCAUUCCUGACGUUCAUACACGAAAGCGUGGGGAGCAAACAGGAUUAGAUACCCGCGUAGUCCCUGUCUCUUAUAA
rnacentral:rRNA from 1 species